rnacentral:rRNA from 1 species
AGGAGUUUGGAUCCCUGGCUCAGGACGAACGUUGGCGGUGCGCUUAAUGCAUGCAAGUCGAGGGAGAACCAUUCGAUCCGUAAGGACUGGAUGGGGAAACCGGCGAACGGGUGCGUAACACGUGAGGAACCUGCCCCGAAGACCGGGAUAGCCCGAGGAAACUCGGAUUAAUACCGGAUACCCUCUUUGGACCACAUGGUCUGCUGAAGAAAUGGUCCGCCGCUUCGGGAUGGCCUCGCGGCCUAUCAGCUUGUUGGUGAGGUAACGGCUCACCAAGGCAAAGACGGGUAGCUGGUCUGAGAGGACGAUCAGCCACACUGGGACUGAGACACGGCCCAGACUCCUACGGGAGGCAGCAGCAGGGAAUAUUGCACAAUGGGCGAAAGCCUGAUGCAGCGACACCGCGUGCGGGAUGAAGGCCCUCGGGUUGUAAACCGCUUUCAGGAGGGACGAAAAUGACGGUACCUCCAGAAGAAGGCCCGGCCAACUACGUGCCAGCAGCCGCGGUAAUACGUAGGGGCCAAACGUUGUCCGGAUUUAUUGGGCGUAAAGGGCUCGUAGGCGGUUCAACAAGUCGAUCGUGAAAGCCCGGGGCUCAACCCCGGGACGCCGGUCGAAACUGUUGUGACUAGGGUCCGGUAGAGGUGAGUGGAAUUCUCGGUGUAGCGGUGGAAUGCGCAGAUAUCGAGAGGAACACCA